UUAAGCGACUAAGCGUACACGGUGGAUGCCCUGGCAGUCAGAGGCGAUGAAGGACGUGCUAAUCUGCGAAAAGCGCCGGCGAGGUGAUAUGAACCUUUGACCCGGCGAUGUCCGAAUGGGGAAACCCAGUGUGUUUCGACACACUAUCGUUAACUGAAUACAUAGGUUAACGAGGCGAACCGGGGGAACUGAAACAUCUAAGUACCCCGAGGAAAAGAAAUCAACCGAGAUUCCCCCAGUAGCGGCGAGCGAACGGGGAGCAGCCCGGAGUCUGAAUCAGCUUGUGUGUUAGUGGAACGGUCUGGAAAGUCCGACGGUACAGGGUGAUAGUCCCGUACACGAAAACACACUUGCUGUGAACUCGAAGAGUAGGGCGGGACACGUGGUAUCCUGUCUGAAUAUGGGGGGACCAUCCUCCAAGGCUAAAUACUCCUGACUGACCGAUAGUGAACCAGUACCGUGAGGGAAAGGCGAAAAGAACCCCGGCGAGGGGAGUGAAAAAGAACCUGAAACCGUGUACGUACAAGCAGUGGGAGCCUCUUUAUGGGGUGACUGCGUACCUUUUGUAUAAUGGGUCAGCGACUUAUAUUCUGUAGCAAGGUUAACCGUAUAGGGGAGCCGAAGGGAAACCGAGUCUUAACUGGGCGUUAAGUUGCAGGGUAUAGACCCGAAACCCGGUGAUCUAGCCAUGGGCAGGUUGAAGGUUGGGUAACACUAACUGGAGGACCGAACCGACUAAUGUUGAAAAAUUAGCGGAUGACCUGUGGCUGGGGGUGAAAGGCCAAUCAAACCGGGAGAUAGCUGGUUCUCCCCGAAAGCUAUUUAGGUAGCGCCUCGUGAACUCAUCUUCGGGGGUAGAGCACUGUUUCGGCUAGGGGGCCAUCCCGGCUUACCAACCCGAUGCAAACUACGAAUACCGAAGAAUGUUAUCACGGGAGACACACGGCGGGUGCUAACGUCCGUCGUGAAGAGGGAAACAACCCAGACCGCCAGCUAAGGUCCCAAAGUCAUGGUUAAGUGGGAAACGAUGUGGGAAGGCACAGACAGCCAGGAUGUUGGCUUAGAAGCAGCCAUCAUUUAAAGAAAGCGUAAUAGCUCACUGGUCGAGUCGGCCUGCGCGGAAGAUGUAACGGGGCUAAACCAUGCACCGAAGCUGCGGCAGCGACGCUUAUGCGUUGUUGGGUAGGGGAGCGUUCUGUAAGCCGUUGAAGGUGUGCUGUGAGGCAUGCUGGAGGUAUCAGAAGUGCGAAUGCUGACAUAAGUAACGAUAAAGCGGGUGAAAAGCCCGCUCGCCGGAAGACCAAGGGUUCCUGUCCAACGUUAAUCGGGGCAGGGUGAGUCGACCCCUAAGGCGAGGCCGAAAGGCGUAGUCGAUGGGAAACAGGUUAAUAUUCCUGUACUUGGUGUUACUGCGAAGGGGGGACGGAGAAGGCUAUGUCAGCCGGGCGACGGUUGUCCCGGUUUAAGCAUGUAGGCGGAGGUUCCAGGUAAAUCCGGUACCUUUUAACGCUGAGGUGUGAUGACGAGGCACUACGGUGCUGAAGUGAUAAAUGCCCUGCUUCCAGGAAAAGCCUCUAAGCAUCAGGUAACACGAAAUCGUACCCCAAACCGACACAGGUGGUCAGGUAGAGAAUACCAAGGCGCUUGAGAGAACUCGGGUGAAGGAACUAGGCAAAAUGGUGCCGUAACUUCGGGAGAAGGCACGCUGAUAUGUAGGUGAAGUCCCUGCGGGCGGAGCUGAAAUCAGUCGAAGAUACCAGCUGGCUGCAACUGUUUAUUAAAAACACAGCACUGUGCAAACACGAAAGUGGACGUAUACGGUGUGACGCCUGCCCGGUGCCGGAAGGUUAAUUGAUGGGGUUAGCGGCAACGCGAAGCUCUUGAUCGAAGCCCCGGUAAACGGCGGCCGUAACUAUAACGGUCCUAAGGUAGCGAAAUUCCUUGUCGGGUAAGUUCCGACCUGCACGAAUGGCGUAAUGAUGGCCAGGCUGUCUCCACCCGAGACUCAGUGAAAUUGAACUCGCUGUGAAGAUGCAGUGUACCCGCGGCAAGACGGAAAGACCCCGUGAACCUUUACUAUAGCUUGACACUGAACACUGGUCCUUGAUGUGUAGGAUAGGUGGGAGGCUUUGAAGCGUGGACGCCAGUCUGCGUGGAGCCGUCCUUGAAAUACCACCCUUUAAUGGCUGGUGUUCUAACGUAGACCCGUGAUCCGGGUUGCGGACAGUGUCUGGUGGGUAGUUUGACUGGGGCGGUCUCCUCCCAAAGAGUAACGGAGGAGCACGAAGGUUGGCUAAUCCUGGUCGGACAUCAGGAGGUUAGUGCAAUGGCAUAAGCCAGCUUGACUGCGAGCGUGACGGCGCGAGCAGGUGCGAAAGCAGGUCAUAGUGAUCCGGUGGUUCUGAAUGGAAGGGCCAUCGCUCAACGGAUAAAAGGUACUCCGGGGAUAACAGGCUGAUACCGCCCAAGAGUUCAUAUCGACGGCGGUGUUUGGCACCUCGAUGUCGGCUCAUCACAUCCUGGGGCUGAAGUAGGUCCCAAGGGUAUGGCUGUUCGCCAUUUAAAGUGGUACGCGAGCUGGGUUUAGAACGUCGUGAGACAGUUCGGUCCCUAUCUGCCGUGGGCGCUGGAGAAUUGAGGGGGGCUGCUCCUAGUACGAGAGGACCGGAGUGGACGCAUCACUGGUGUUCGGGUUGUCAUGCCAAUGGCACUGCCCGGUAGCUAAAUGCGGAAGAGAUAAGUGCUGAAAGCAUCUAAGCACGAAACUUGCCCCGAGAUGAGUUCUCCCUGAGAC
rnacentral:rRNA from 2 species